rnacentral:misc_RNA from 1 species
GAAAUGCGAUAAGUAAUGUGAAUUGCAGAAUUCAGUGAAUCAUCGAAUCUUUGAACGCACAUUGCGCCCGCCAGUAUUCUGGCGGGCAUGCCUGUUCGAGCGUCAUUUCAACCAUCAAGCCCCGGGCUUGUGUUGGGGACCUGCGGCUGCCGCAGGCCCUGAAAACCAGUGGCGGGCUCGCUGUCACACCGAGCGUAGUAGAUUCUCAUCUCGCUCAGGGCGUGCUGCGGGUUCCGGCCGUAAAACAGCCUUAUUUUACCCAAGGUUGACCUCGGUUCAGGUAGGAAGACCCGCUGAACUUAAGC